rnacentral:rRNA from 1 species
UACGUAGGGGGCAAGCGUUGUCCGGAAUCAUUGGGCGUAAAGCGCGUGUAGGCGGUCCGGUAAGUCCGCUGUGAAAGUCGGGGGCUCAACCCUCGAAUGCCGGUGGAUACUGUCGGGCUAGAGUGCGGAAGAGGCGAGUGGAAUUCCUGGUGUAGCGGUGAAAUGCGCAGAUAUCAGGAGGAACACCUAUUGCGAAGGCAGCUCGCUGGGACGUGACUGACGCUGAGACGCGAAAGCGUGGGGAGCAAACAGG